GACGAACGCUGGCGGCGUGCUUAACACAUGCAAGUCGAACGGAAAGGCCCUGCUUUUGUGGGGUGCUCGAGUGGCGAACGGGUGAGUAACACGUGAGUAACCUGCCCUUGACUUUGGGAUAACUUCAGGAAACUGGGGCUAAUACCGGAUAGGAGCUCCUGCUGCAUGGUGGGGGUUGGAAAGUUUCGGCGGUUGGGGAUGGACUCGCGGCUUAUCAGCUUGUUGGUGGGGUAGUGGCUUACCAAGGCUUUGACGGGUAGCCGGCCUGAGAGGGUGACCGGCCCCAUUGGGACUGGGAUACGGGCCAGAAUCCUACGGGGGGCAGCAGUGGGGAAUAUUGCACAAUGGGCGGAAGCCUGAUGCAGCAACGCCGCGUGCGGGAUGACGGCCUUCGGGUUGUAAACCGCUUUCGCCUGUGACGAAGCGUGAGUGACGGUAAUGGGUAAAGAAGCACCGGCUAACUACGUG
rnacentral:rRNA from 1 species